rnacentral:rRNA from 1 species
GACGAACGCUGGCGGCGUGCCUAAUACAUGCAAGUAGAACGCUGAAGGAGGAGCUUGCUUCUCCGGAUGAGUUGCGAACGGGUGAGUAACGCGUAGGUAACCUGCCUGGUAGCGGGGGAUAACUAUUGGAAACGAUAGCUAAUACCGCAUAAGAGUAGAUGUUGCUUGACAUUUGCUUAAAAGGUGCAAUUGCAUCACUACCAGAUGGACCUGCGUUGUAUUAGCUAGUUGGUGGGGUAACGGCUUACCAAGGCGACGAUACAUAGCCGACCUGAGAGGGUGAUCGGCCACACUGGGACUGAGACACGGCCCAGACUCCUACGGGAGGCAGCAGUAGGGAAUCUUCGGCAAUGGACGGAAGUCUGACCGAGCAACGCCGCGUGAGUGAAGAAGGUUUUCGGAUCGUAAAGCUCUGUUGUAAGAGAAGAACGAGUGUGAGAGUGGAAAGUUCACACUGUGACGGUAUCUUACCAGAAAGGGACGGCUAACUACGUG